rnacentral:rRNA from 1 species
GACGAACGCUGGCGGCGUGCUUAACACAUGCAAGUCGAGCGGUAAGGCCCUUUCGGGGGUACACGAGCGGCGAACGGGUGAGUAACACGUGGGUGACCUGCCCUCAGCUCUGGGAUAAGCCUGGGAAACUGGGUCUAAUACCGGAUAUGACUUCGCAUCGCAUGGUGUGGGGUGGAAAGUUUUUCGGCUGGGGAUGGGCCCGCGGCCUAUCAGCUUGUUGGUGGGGUGAUGGCCUACCAAGGCGACGACGGGUAGCCGGCCUGAGAGGGCGACCGGCCACACUGGGACUGAGACACGGCCCAGACUCCUACGGGAGGCAGCAGUGGGGAAUAUUGCGCAAUGGGCGGAAGCCUGACGCAGCGACGCCGCGUGGGGAUGACGGCCUC